GAUUGUCACUGGGACUACAUCCAGCUACCUGUGAGGGAUCUCCAGGAAGCCUGACACAAGAACUUUUGCAUUAGUGAAAAUGAAGUGCUCUGUUGAAGGCAUUACUUUCAGGAGACUGAAGGGAAAGGAGGGAUUCAAUGUCAUUUCACUUCCUGAAGCACAGUCUGGAGAGCGCACCUGAAGAACUGCAAGUGUUAGAUGCUCCCACAGAGCAAAGGCAUACGCCACUGGAAAAG
rnacentral:lncRNA from 1 species